GCCAGACUCCUACGGGAGGCAGCAGUGGGGGAUAUUGCACAAUGGGGGGAACCCUGAUGCAGCGACGCCGCGUGGGUGAAGGAGUGCUUCGGCAUGUAAAGCCCUAUCGGCAGGGAAGAAGCAAGACGGUACCUGACUAAGGAGCCCCGGCUAACUACGUGCCAGCAGCCGCGGUAAUACGUAGGGGGCAAGCGUUAUCCGGAUUUACUGGGUGUAAAGGGAGCGUAGACGGCAGUGCGAGUCUGGAGUGAAAGGCGGGGGCUCAACCCCCGGACUGCUCUGGAAACUGUACGGCUGGAGUGCAGGAGAGGUAAGUGGAAUUCCUAGUGUAGCGGUGAAAUGCGUAGAUAUUAGGAAGAACACCAGUGGCGAAGGCGGCUUGCUGGACAGUAACUGACGUUGAGGCUCGAAAGCGUGGGGAGCAAACAGGAUUAGAUACCCUCGUACA
rnacentral:rRNA from 1 species